AUUGCUCUCUUUGGCAACAUAUACUAAAAUUGGAACAUCCAGAGAAGAUUAGCAUGGACCUUGUAUAAGAAUGACACGCACAUUCAUGAAGCACUCAGUGGCUUU
rnacentral:snRNA from 1 species